GAGUAAAAGUCGUAACAAGGUUUCCGUAGGUGAACCUGCGGAAGGAUCAUUAAUGUGUUUGGGCCUCACGGCUCUUCAUUCCGACGCUGUGCGCCUUCGGGCUGCACGCUGAGGGAGCAUAUAUCCACCCCUGUGCACACACACGGUGGCGAGCUGGGUAACGGCUCGCCGCUGAUCUUUACACACGUCUAAAAGUCAUUGUAUGUUUAUUUGAGAUAAAAACACAACUUUCAGCAACGGAUCUCUUGGCUCUC
rnacentral:misc_RNA from 1 species